rnacentral:lncRNA from 1 species
GUUAUUUAUGUAGGCAGUAGAACUUUAAGCAGCACAAUUUAACAUUACAUUUGAAGAAUAGCUGUGCCAGUAUCAGCCCAACAGCAUUUCCUACACAACAAUUAGCUUAAAGGGCCCAUAUCAUGCAAAAUCCACUUUUUAGACAUUUUGGAGCGUCCCUAUGACUCUAUGGGUCACAUAUACACACACUGAGCACGGUAGAAAUGCAUUUCCUGCUUUUUUCACAUUUUGAAAACGUAAAUUUUCUCAUCCAAUGAAAACAGCCACGACCUACUCUGAGGCCGUGUCCCAGUUGUCGUCACACUGGUUGAAAGUUCUCCUUGCAAAUCCUGAACCACCACCCCCACAAUGAUCCCGAACCAAAACUGGACUUCCGCCCAUUUCCCCCCUCUCACUCACCGUGAACAGACCAGCACGGCCGCGCCCAAGUCCUCCCAUAGAAAUAGUUCGGUUCUUGGGUGUUCUAACCAACACCAAAGUCUAUUCACUUUAACAAGGGAUCAACAAGUGAGGAUUUGUGGGUCACUUUUAUUUUUAACGGACCGGUGCCAGAAACACUGCCUCAGCAUUUAUACGUAUGUGCAUUUCAAACGAGGGUGCGUACAAUGCUGGAUUUGUUUCACGGCUCCUGUUGGAAAAAAAGGACCUAUUCCUAAAGUCCGUCAUCCACUCACUGAAGAGGGCAAAUCCCAGUUGCCCACAUGCAAGGAGGCUGUCAAACAGAGAAAUCACUGCAGACUGUUGGUACACAGACAUCUGCUGCCCAGCUCAGGAGUGAAGUACCUUUUGUUUUGAUGAGGUGAUGGUGAGGACAGCCACAGCUUCCAUCUGGUAGAGGACUGCUUCCGCUCAGUCUUCCAAAUAGUGAUGAGAACAAGGAUCACCACAUCUCCCUGUUUACCCUACUUUCAUGCAUUUCGUCUGCAAGGCCCUGCAAAAGCUUCUCCUUCGUCCUCAAACCCCCAGACUUCUUAAUUAACUCAGUAACCUAUACAUUGCACAUUGGAGUGUGAAGGUAACAGUUUGUUCUAGCUUUGGAGUAGUGGUGCAUUUUUUUGGUUUACAAUAAAGUUGGCUUUAACUAUUAUGUAUUUCA